rnacentral:rRNA from 1 species
AGAGUUUGAUCCUGGCUCAGGAUGAACGCUGGCGGCGUGCCUAAUACAUGCAAGUCGAGCGAACGGACGAGAAGCUUGCUUCUCUGAUGUUAGCGGCGGACGGGUGAGUAACACGUGGAUAACCUACCUAUAAGACUGGGAUAACUUCGGGAAACCGGAGCUAAUACCGGAUAAUAUUUUGAACCGCAUGGUUCAAAAGUGAAAGACGGUCUUGCUGUCACUUAUAGAUGGAUCCGCGCUGCAUUAGCUAGUUGGUAAGGUAACGGCUUACCAAGGCAACGAUGCAUAGCCGACCUGAGAGGGUGAUCGGCCACACUGGAACUGAGACACGGUCCAGACUCCUACGGGAGGCAGCAGUAGGGAAUCUUCCGCAAUGGGCGAAAGCCUGACGGAGCAACGCCGCGUGAGUGAUGAAGGUCUUCGGAUCGUAAAACUCUGUUAUUAGGGAAGAACAUAUGUGUAAGUAACUGUGCACAUCUUGACGGUACCUAAUCAGAAAGCCACGGCUAACUACGUGCCAGCAGCCGCGGUAAUACGUAGGUGGCAAGCGUUAUCCGGAAUUAUUGGGCGUAAAGCGCGCGUAGGCGGUUUUUUAAGUCUGAUGUGAAAGCCCACGGCUCAACCGUGGAGGGUCAUUGGAAACUGGAAAACUUGAGUGCAGAAGAGGAAAGUGGAAUUCCAUGUGUAGCGGUGAAAUGCGCAGAGAUAUGGAGGAACACCAGUGGCGAAGGCGACUUUCUGGUCUGUAACUGACGCUGAUGUGCGAAAGCGUGGGGAUCAAACAGGAUUAGAUACCCUGGUAGUCCACGCCGUAAACGAUGAGUGCUAAGUGUUAGGGGGUUUCCGCCCCUUAGUGCUGCAGCUAACGCAUUAAGCACUCCGCCUGGGGAGUACGACCGCAAGGUUGAAACUCAAAGGAAUUGACGGGGACCCGCACAAGCGGUGGAGCAUGUGGUUUAAUUCGAAGCAACGCGAAGAACCUUACCAAAUCUUGACAUCCUUUGACAACUCUAGAGAUAGAGCCUUCCCCUUCGGGGGACAAAGUGACAGGUGGUGCAUGGUUGUCGUCAGCUCGUGUCGUGAGAUGUUGGGUUAAGUCCCGCAACGAGCGCAACCCUUAAGCUUAGUUGCCAUCAUUAAGUUGGGCACUCUAAGUUGACUGCCGGUGACAAACCGGAGGAAGGUGGGGAUGACGUCAAAUCAUCAUGCCCCUUAUGAUUUGGGC